rnacentral:rRNA from 1 species
AACGAACGCUGGCGGCAUGCCUAACACAUGCAAGUCGAACGAGACCUUCGGGUCUAGUGGCGCACGGGUGCGUAACGCGUGGGAACCUGCCCUUAGGUUCGGAAUAACUCCCCGAAAGGGGUGCUAAUACCGGAUAAUGUCUUCGGACCAAAGAUUUAUCGCCUUUGGAUGGGCCCGCGUUGGAUUAGCUAGUUGGAAGGGUAAAAGCCUACCAAGGUGACGAUCCAUAGCUGGUCUGAGAGGAUGAUCAGCCACACUGGGACUGAGACACGGCCCAGACUCCUACGGGAAGCAGCAGUGGGGAAUAUUGGACAAUGGGCGAAAGCCUGAUCCAGCAAUGCCGCGUGAGUGAUGAAGGCCUUAGGGUUGUAAAGCUCUUUUACCCGGGAUGAUAAUGACAGUACCGGGAGAAUAAGCUCCGGCUAACUCCGUG